CACCGCGGUUAUACGAGAGGCCCAAGUUGAUAGACGUCGGCGUAAAGAGUGGUUAAUAGAAUUAAUACUAAGGCUAAACAUCUUCAAGACUGUUAUACGUACCCGAAGACAGGAGAAUCUACCACGAAAGUGGCCUUAACCUAUUUGAACCCACUAAAGCUAGGGAA
rnacentral:rRNA from 1 species